GAAUGCUGACAUAAGUAACGAUAAAGCGGGUGAAAAGCCCGCUCGCCGGAAGACCAAGGGUUCCUGUCCAACGUUAAUCGGGGCAGGGUGAGUCGACCCCUAAGGCGAGGCCGAAAGGCGUAGUCGAUGGGAAACAGGUUAAUAUUCCUGUACUUGGUGUUACUGCGAAGGGGGGACGGAGAAGGCUAUGUUGGCCGGGCGACGGUUGUCCCGGUUUAAGCGUGUAGGCUGGUUUUCCAGGCAAAUCCGGAAAAUCAAGGCUGAGGCGUGAUGACGAGGCACUACGGUGCUGAAGCGACAAAUGCCCUGCUUCCAGGAAAAGCCUCUAAGCAUCAGGUAACAUCAAAUCGUACCCCAAACCGACACAGGUGGUCAGGUAGAGAAUACCAAGGCGCUUGAGAGAACUCGGGUGAAGGAACUAGGCAAAAUGGUGCCGUAACUUCGGGAGAAGGCACGCUGAUAUGUAGGUGAAGCGACUUGCUCGUGGAGCUGAAAUCAGUCGAAGAUACCAGCUGGCUGCAACUGUUUAUUAAAAACACAGCACUGUGCAAACACGAAAGUGGACGUAUACGGUGUGACGCCUGCCCGGUGCCGGAAGGUUAAUUGAUGGGGUUAGCGGUAACGCGAAGCUCUUGAUCGAAGCCCCGGUAAACGGCGGCCGUAACUAUAACGGUCCUAAGGUAGCGAAAUUCCUUGUCGGGUAAGUUCCGACCUGCACGAAUGGCGUAAUGAUGGCCAGGCUGUCUCCACCCGAGACUCAGUGAAAUUGAACUCGCUGUGAAGAUGCAGUGUACCCGCGGCAAGACGGAAAGACCCCGUGAACCUUUACUAUAGCUUGACACUGAACAUUGAGCCUUGAUGUGUAGGAUAGGUGGGAGGCUUUGAAGUGUGGACGCCAGUCUGCAUGGAGCCGACCUUGAAAUACCACCCUUUAAUGUUUGAUGUUCUAACGUGGGCCCCUUACCGGGGUUGCGGACAGUGUCUGGUGGGUAGUUUGACUGGGGCGGUCUCCUCCUAAAGAGUAACGGAGGAGCACGAAGGUUGGCUAAUCCUGGUCGGACAUCAGGAGGUUAGUGCAAUGGCAUAAGCCAGCUUGACUGCGAGCGUGACGGCGCGAGCAGGUGCGAAAGCAGGUCAUAGUGAUCCGGUGGUUCUGAAUGGAAGGGCCAUCGCUCAACGGAUAAAAGGUACUCCGGGGAUAACAGGCUGAUACCGCCCAAGAGUUCAUAUCGACGGCGGUGUUUGGCACCUCGAUGUCGGCUCAUCACAUCCUGGGGCUGAAGUAGGUCCCAAGGGUAUGGCUGUUCGCCAUUUAAAGUGGUACGCGAGCUGGGUUUAGAACGUCGUGAGACAGUUCGGUCCCUAUCUGCCGUGGGCGCUGGAGAACUGAGGGGGGCUGCUCCUAGUACGAGAGGACCGGAGUGGACGCAUCACUGGUGUUCGGGUUGUCAUGCCAAUGGCACUGCCCGGUAGCUAAAUGCGGAAGAGAUAAGUGCUGAAAGCAUC
rnacentral:rRNA from 1 species